GCACUGUUGAAGAGUUUCAAAUUUGGACGAAACGGCCGUCCAGUAC
rfam:Schistosoma margrebowiei strain Zambia genome assembly, scaffold: SMRZ_scaffold0000570